UACGUAGGGGGCAAGCGUUGUCCGGAAUCAUUGGGCGUAAAGAGCGUGUAGGCGGCCAGAAAAGUCCGCUGUGAAAACUCGAGGCUCAACUUCGAGCUGUCGGUGGAAACUUUCUGGCUAGAGUCCGGAAGAGGAGAAUGGAAUUCCUGGUGUAGCGGUGAAAUGCGCAGAUAUCAGGAAGAACACCCGUGGCGAAGGCGGCCCUCUGGCUCGACCCUGACGCUGAGGCGCGAAAGCGUGGGGAGCGAACGGG
rnacentral:rRNA from 1 species